UCAUAACCAUUGCCUCAACCAAAUUUUUCUCCGUUCGAAAUUAAAAUUGAUUAAAUCUUCUUUAAGAUCAACAAUGUCUCAAGAUAGAUUGAAUGAAUUAGCUAUAUUAUCAUUUGAAAAGGAAUUAUUAAAAUAAAUUGAUUAUAAAACAAUACUUAAUAACUUUGCAUCUGAAAUAGCUAGAAAAGUAUAUUUUAAAUAAAAGUACAUAUGAUGGAAAAAAAAUUUAGGGCCCCUCUCUUAAAUUUCGCUUUAGGCCCCCAAUGUUGUUGAGUCGGCCCUG
rnacentral:lncRNA from 1 species